rnacentral:rRNA from 1 species
AGUGAACGCUGGCGGUAGGCCUAACACAUGCAAGUCGAACGGCAGCACAGUAAGAGCUUGCUCUUACGGGUGGCGAGUGGCGGACGGGUGAGGAAUACAUCGGAAUCUACUUUUUCGUGGGGGAUAACGUAGGGGAACUUACGCUAAUACCGCAUACGACCUACGGGUGAAAGCAGGGGAUCUUCGGACCUUGCGCGAUUGAAUGAGCCGAUGUCGGAUUAGCUAGUUGGCGGGGUAAAGGCCCACCAGGGCGACGAUCCGUAGCUGGUCUGAGAGGAUGAUCAGCCACACUGGAACUGAGACACGGUCCAGACUCCUACGGGAGGCAGCAGUGGGGAAUAUUGGACAAUGGGCGCAAGCCUGAUCCAGCCAUACCGCGUGGGUGAAGAAGGCCUUCGGGUUGUAAAGCCCUUUUGUUGGGAAAGAAAAGCAGCAGGUUAAUACCCCGCUGUUCUGACGGUACCCAAAGAAUAAGCACCGGCUAACUUCGUG